GGCAACCAGCGUCUGACGAAAGCCUUUCAUCAAGUCUUAUGCUUCGAUAGAAAACAGAAAACCUUGUUUUCCUUUGUAGCAGUCAUACCUUAUUCAGCAAUAAGUUUCAAGCAUCCAGUAGAUCGAUUUCAAUAAUUGCGCCAACAGUUAUACAACCUAUCGUUGGCCAACUUUUGCACAACACCCUAAUCAAAUUUUCCCCUCAUUUAAGUUGAAUAAUUCGUUGAGUCUCUCCUUGGAGUGAAAUUCACGAAGAUUCCUCGCGAAUAAUGUAUGAUGGAGGGGAGGGAUGGCGCCAAGGAUUGGUUAACCGAAUAAAACAGUCAGUGGGGUCAUUGAUCGCCGAAUUUGUCCGAUGAAAUUAGCGGGACAAUACGUAUUUCCGGUGAAUUCGUACGAAAUUACCUUCCCUAAUCUGAGGAUUUCCAAUGCUAGUUUAUUUCGUCCCAGUCCGCCAAACUUAGUGGAAGCUUCGCGUAGUUGUCCGGUGUUAGUUUCAGAUAGGUAAUAAAGUGACGUAUUCUUACGUAAAGUUUCCAUAAAUAUUUGUCUCUCUCCUUUGCCUAGAUUGCUAAUAUAGUAGUGAUUGCCACGAUAAGUAGUGCGUGUAGAGAAUAGUGCGUGCGAAGUAAAACAAGAAUCAGCCAGACGGCAUUCGUUUCUUUUAUCUAUUCUGCGCAGCUACGACGAAAGAGAGGAAGGAAGGAAGCAAGCACCGGACGCGGGCCAAAGUCCACCAACGGACGAAAAUUCAAACUCCGGCAACCGUUACACCGCCGGAAAAGUUCGGUCCGUCAACUGACCGUUAGUAGCAGCCAGCGAACGUCGGCCAGAAUCGGUGUGGUAGAUCACCGGUUACGUGAGUACCCGGAAUCGUCAUCACCGCCAUCACCAAUAAAACGACGAUCGACCCAGCAUCCACCACCAACAGUAAGCAGCAGACGCAGAAACCACUGGUGAGUCCGUAUCGUUCUUGCUAAAUAGUGGGGCGGCGUCCACUGAAGACGCCCCCGUGAUUCAGAACCGUUUAAGUGCACUAUAAUUAAAAAUCUCGUUUAAAAACGGAAGUAGGGACGCGUCCAUAAAUUGAGGGUUGUGUGUCGGCCAUCAUGCUUUUGUGACACCAUUUUUGAACGCCACACACAACCCAUUGUAUUAGUCACCCGGGUGCGAAGCACAUCUCAUUGCUGGAGCCGUGGAGUGACGUCAUCGUCUGAGAAAGUGGGAGAGGAAAGCACAAAUGGUCAAUGAGCACAAGUAGGGAGAGAAAUCACGCACGCACAUAGGAGCUAGGCUAGAUAGGAAAUUAGAAAAGCUAAUAUAGACAUGCAAUAUAAAGUCAAACCGUUUUUCCGUUAAUAAAUGAUUAUUUAUUUCAAUGCCUAAA